GCAGUCGAGCGAGACCUUCGGGUCUAGCGGCGGACGGGUGAGUAACGCGUGGGAACGUGCCCUUUGCUACGGAAUAGUCCCGGGAAACUGGGUUUAAUACCGUAUGUGCCCUUCGGGGGAAAGAUUUAUCGGCAAAGGAUCGGCCCGCGUUGGAUUAGGUAGUUGGUGGGGUAAUGGCCUACCAAGCCGACGAUCCAUAGCUGGUUUGAGAGGAUGAUCAGCCACACUGGGACUGAGACACGGCCCAGACUCCUACGGGAGGCAGCAGUGGGGAAUCUUAGACAAUGGGGGCAACCCUGAUCUA
rnacentral:rRNA from 1 species